rnacentral:rRNA from 1 species
GACGUAGGGCGCGAGCGUUGUCCGGAUUUAUUGGGCGUAAAGAGCUCGUAGGCGGCUCAUCGCGUCUGCCGUGAAAACCUGUGGCUCAACUACAGGCUUGCGGUUGAUACGGGUGGGCUGGAGUUCGGUAGGGGAGACUGGAAUUCCUGGUGUAGCGGUGAAAUGCGCAGAUAUCAGGAGGAACACCGGUGGCGAAGGCGCCACUCUGGGCCGAAACUGACGCUGAGGAGCGAAAGCGUGGGUAGCAAACAGG